rnacentral:tRNA from 1 species
AUCUCCAUAGCUCAACUGGACAGAGCAAGGGUUUUCUACACCCAAGGUUGAGGGUUCGAAUCCUUCUGGGGAUA